rnacentral:rRNA from 1 species
AUUGAACGCUGGCGGCAGGCCUAACACAUGCAAGUCGAGCGGAUGAAGGGAGCUUGCUCCUGGAUUCAGCGGCGGACGGGCGAGUAAUGCCUAGGAAUCUGCCUGGUAGUGGGGGAUAACGUCCGGAAACGGGCGCUAAUACCGCAUACGUCCUGAGGGAGAAAGUGGGGGAUCUUCGGACAUCACGCUAUCAGAUGAGCCUAGGUCGGAUUAGCUAGUUGGUGGGGUAAAGGCCUACCAAGGCGACGAUCCGUAACUGGUCUGAGAGGAUGAGCAGUCACACUGGAACUGAGACACGGUCCAGACUCCUACGGGAGGCAGCAGUGGGGAAUAUUGGACAAUGGGCGAAAGCCUGAUCCAGCCAUGCCGCGUGUGUGAAGAAGGUCUUCGGAUUGUAAAGCACUUUAAGUUGGGAGGAAGGGCAGUAAGUUAAUACCUUGCUGUUUUGACGUUACCAACAGAAUAAGCACCGGCUAACUUCGUG